CUAAGCUUGGGAGUUCUCCCUAGUUUUCAUCAUCGACAUCACCAUCGAAGCCGCAUCGGACGGACUCUGGUCGGUAAACCCUCUGAACUUUCCAAUCGAUGUUCCGUUGUUAGCAUACAUUUCUUAUUCAACCUAUUGAUACCACCAUUAGAGUUGUGUAAUCCUUCACCUAGGAUUUCCGAUUGA